rnacentral:rRNA from 1 species
UGAGCUGUGAUGGGGAAGCUCCUUAUGGAGCGAAGUCUUUGAUUCCCCGCUGCCAAGAAAAGCUUCUAGCGAGAUAAAAGGUGCCUGUACCGCAAACCGACACAGGUAGGCGAGGAGAGAAUCCUAAGGUGUGCGAGAGAACUCUGGUUAAGGAACUCGGCAAAAUGACCCCGUAACUUCGGGAGAAGGGGUGCUUUCUUAACGGAAAGCCGCAGUGAAUAGGCCCAAGCGACUGUUUAGCAAAAACACAGGUCUCUGCGAAGCCGUAAGGCGAAGUAUAGGGGCUGACACCUGCCCGGUGCUGGAAGGUUAAGGAGAGGGGUUAGCGUAAGCGAAGCUCUGAACUGAAGCCCCAGUAAACGGCGGCCGUAACUAUAACGGUCCUAAGGUAGCGAAAUUCCUUGUCGGGUAAGUUCCGACCCGCACGAAAGGUGUAACGAUUUGGGCACUGUCUCAACCAGAGACUCGGUGAAAUUAUAGUACCUGUGAAGAUGCAGGUUACCCGCGACAGGACGGAAAGACCCCGUGGAGCUUUACUGUAGCCUGAUAUUGAAUUUUGGUACAGUUUGUACAGGAUAGGCGGGAGCCUUUGAAGCCGGAGCGCUAGCUUCGGUGGAGGCGCUGGUGGGAUACCGCCCUGACUGUAUUGAAAUUCUAACCUACGGGUCUUAUCGACCCGGGAGACAGUGUCAGGUGGGCAGUUUGACUGGGGCGG